GAGAUGGCACGUGAACUCGAGGGGAGGGGAGAACAUGGUAAUGGCAAGAAACUUGGAGACCCACCUGUUGACUCAUCCACUAAUUAGCUCUCAUCUUCAAAAUAAACAAAAACCUUCCUCAACACUGCAUUCCUCCAUAGUUACAGUUUCUCAUUGCAAUUUUCUCAUCACAUUGCAGCCAAACUUUGCUAAAGAGGAAUCUCUGCUUGCUUUCUCUGACUUCCCAUUCAGUUCUCCACCCACUGCAGUCGGGGCUCUGCCCACCACAGCUACCACCACUGAAACUGCUCCCUUCAAGACCUUCUGGUUAUCAAUUUUUUUGGAUACAUUUCAGGCCCUUCAUCACCUGGCCUCUAGACACCAUUCAAUUCUUGAUCACUUCCUCAUGAAGUUCUCGUCUCCUUUAGUUUCUGUGACACAACUAUAUCUAUUAGUUCUGUUUCAGAAGAAAGUAACAGAAAACUCAACCCGAAUUGGUUUAAGCAGUAAGAAACUUCACAGGCCGCACAAAUGGAAGUCUAGAGGUCCAUUCUUGGAGACUCUGGGACACAUCAAGGCCAUUUGUAGCUGGAGUGGUUUUGGGUUCCUAAACUCUGCCUUCAAGAGAUGUAUUUCCUAAUUAUUCCAUCUAUUCUUUUACUUCUGCAAUCCCCAUCUGGCUGGCUUUCAUCACGUGCAUCCAAUCAGAAUCCCAAUGACAUUCUUCACAGAAAUAGAAAAAAGAAUCCAAAAAUUGAUAUGGAACAAUAAAAGACCCUGAAUAGCCAAAGCAAUCCCAAGAAAAAAGAGCAAAGCUGGAGGCAUCACAAUCCCUUACUUCAAAACAUACUACAAAGCUAUAGUAAUCAAAACAGCAUGGUACUGGCACAAAAACACACAAGUUAAUGGAGGGUCAUGUUUCUAUUUGCUGUGGGACAGUGUUAGUCAUCGGAAGCAGGAUGAUGCAAAGAUCUCUCAAGUACAAUAGUCUUUAGAUCCAGUAGAUGGCAAGACAUUUAAGUAUCUUACGAGUCAGAGCAAUGCAAAAUUCAAUUACACCUCUUCACACCACAUAAAAAUAUCUGUGAUUAUUAAUUAGUCUACUUGUUAGUUAUCUGCCUCUCCCAGUUGAGUACAAUCUCCAUGAUAAAGGCUAGUAUUUUUUUUAAUUAAGCAUUUUAUUCUGAAGUAAUUUUAGGGUUACAUGAAAUUGAAAAUACAGUAAAGAGUUCUGUGUACUCUUCAUCCAGCUUCCCCAAAGAAUAACAUUCUUAUGCAACUAUUGUACGCUAUCAAAACCAGGAAACUAACAUUGCCGUGAUACUAUUGUCUAGGCUUACAGACCUCAUGGGGGUUUCACAAGUUUACAUACACUCCCAUGUACAUGCGUGUGUGUAUACGUGUGUGGUUCUAUGAGAUUUUAUUCUAUGUAUAAAUUCCUGUAACCACCACAGC
rnacentral:lncRNA from 1 species